rnacentral:rRNA from 1 species
UACGUAGGCAGCGAGCGUUGUUCGGAGUUACUGGGCGUAAAGGGUGUGUAGGCGGUUGUUUAAGUUUGGUGUGAAAUCUCCCGGCUCAACUGGGAGGGUGCGCCGAAUACUGAAUGACUUGGAGUGCGGGAGAGGUGAGUGGAAUUCCUGGUGUAGCGGUGAAAUGCGUAGAUAUCAGGAGGAACACCGGUGGUGUAGACGGCUCACUGGACCGUAACUGACGCUGAGACAUGAAAGCGUGGGUAGCAAACAGG